rnacentral:rRNA from 1 species
CAGGUAGGGAUACCCGCUGAACUUAAGC